UCUCCGUUGGUGGACCAGCGGAGGGAUCAUUAUCGAGUUUAUAACUCCCAAACCCUAUGUGAACUUACCACUUGUUGCUUCGGCGCGCGCUUCGGCGCCGCCGAGGACACUUAAACUCUUUGUUUUUAUAAGCAUUUCUGAGUGGCCGAAAGGCAAAAUACAAAUGAAUCAAAACUUUCAACAACGGAUCUCUUGGUUCUG
rnacentral:misc_RNA from 1 species